UACAGAGGUCUCAAGCGUUGUUCGGAUUCAUUGGGCGUAAAGGGUGCGUAGGCGGCGCGGUAAGUCGGGUGUGAAAUCCCGGGGCUUAACUCCGAAACUGCAUUCGAUACUACCGUGCUUGAGGACUGGAGAGGAGACUGGAAUUUACGGUGUAGCGGUGAAAUGCGUAGAUAUCGUAAGGAAGACCAGUGGCGAAGGCGGGUCUCUGGACAGUUCCUGACGCUGAGGCACGAAGGCCAGGGGAGCAAACGGG
rnacentral:rRNA from 1 species